rnacentral:rRNA from 1 species
AGAGUUUGAUCCUGGCUCAGGACGAACGCUGGCGGCGUGCCUAACACAUGCAAGUCGAACGGAGGAUAUACUCAAAGUUUACUUUGAGUGAUCCUUAGUGGCGGACGGGUGAGUAACGCGUGGGUAACCUACCCAUAAACCCGGGACAACCCUUGGAAACGAGGGCUAAUACCGGAUAAACUAUCAUGAUGGCAUCACCGAGAUAGGAAAGGUGGCCUCUGAACAUGCUACCGAUUAUGGAUGGACCCGCGUCUGAUUAGCUAGUUGGUGGGGUAAAGGCCUACCAAGGCGACGAUCAGUAGCCGGCCUGAGAGGGUGAACGGCCACACUGGGACUGAGACACGGCCCAGACUCCUACGGGAGGCAGCAGUGGGGAAUCUUCCGCAAUGGACGAAAGUCUGACGGAGCAACGCCGCGUGUAUGAAGAAGGCCUUCGGGUUGUAAAGUACUGUCUUUGGGGACGAAUGGUAUUUUUGAAAAUAUUGAGAAUACAUGACGGUACCCAAGGAGGAAGCCCCGGCUAACUACGUGCCAUCAG